GCAAAGGCCAGCCAAGGGAGAUCGUAUGUCAGCCAUCUCGCGUCGCCACGAAAACACGACAGUCGUUCGUCAUGCCUUGGAUAUAACAGCAAAUCCUCCACGGCACCCGCUUUAUAUAACGCAAGAAGGCAGCUGCAAGGACACGAGGAUGUGAAAGAGCCAGUGCAGUGCGACUUCACGUAGUGCAGAGGAGCCAAUGCCAAAAAAUCAAAAUACAUUGGCAUGUUAUUUGGACAAGAAAACUAGUAUGGACAACCCAGGACGUGCAUUUCUCAGCACCCAGUCAACUGCUAAAAGUGACUCAAACACAGGCCACCAGUGGAACUCGGCUGUACCACUGCAGUGCUGCGGAAAUUGCCUUCACCAGCGGCUUUGCAACAGCUGUUUCGCAGCAUGUCGGAGACAAUGCCUACGAAAUUAUUGGCCCUGAUCAUGAGAGCCCUCAAGGGGCAAACAACAUCUCUGUUGCAGAAGUGAGCCCGAUACCACUUGGAAGUUACCAUGACAGAUGACACGGCAGCAAUAGAUACAGAGACUGCCAUGUCUACUGCAGCUGCAACAGUGUACGAGGCAAGCAGCAGUGCGUCAGCAUCAGCAGCAGUGUCGGAAGGAACCACACCAGGCCUGGUAGAGCAACAUGUGUGCUAUCACUGACUUUUUUUGUAGUGGAUACAACUCAUUUGCUCAACAUACAAAAGCUCUUCACCACGACUGUGAGCCAGUGUUAUUGUGCAGCAAGUGCAAGACUAAGUUAGGUGUUAUAACACAGUACAAGCAUCACUUCAAUAUAUGCAAAUGCAAACAUAUUACAGUUGUUGCCUCCCCAGCCAGCCCACAUAGUGACAACAAUGUGGAACACAUGGUGGGACACACCUCUCCCUCAUUACAAGAUAGUAGAGACUGUCAGUGUUGUUGCUAGAUUGACUGGUCUUUGUAGGCAACUAGAAGGACAACACAGGUGUCAUAAGAUUGUUGUUGAUGUUGUUGAAGAGGUAAAAAAGAAGUUUGAUGCAGCUGAAGUGCCAACUGAUAUUGAGCAAAUCAAAAGCAACCACCUGAGAAAGCAACACUAUCGAAAUUUGGGUAUCUAUGUACCGCCAACUCUGGUAAGAAUGGCAUAGGACAGAAGUGUGAUGAAAAUCACACAGACACUGCUGUUGCAUCACUGGCCACAGUGAGCAGCGACUUGUAGGGCAAGAGAGUCAACUGAAACUAACAUUAUGAUAUCAUGCUCCCAUGUGACCACUUUUCAAGUUAUUUUGCAAGAUACAGCUCAACCUCCAGAAACGAGACUGCAACUUGUCUGUAAAAAAGCUUUCACAAAAAAUUAUUCAUAACACUUUAACAUAGCAGUAUC